CUAAAUGAAAAUCUAAGUCUUUUUGGAAUAUGCCUCAAUAUUGUAAAUGUGUGACCAAAAUCAGAGUAUAAUCAACUCAUAAAAAGUGGAUUUCAUCUCUAUCUCUACUUAAAUAUUGGAGGUUAAGUCUAAUCAUGAAAAAUUAAGAUGAAACCAAAGGAAUAAAAUAAACCAAAGCAUUUAUUUUUAAAUGUUCCUCUCAUUGUAAUUUUCUUAUUUGAACUUCUGCAGCAAAUCUUUUGUCAAGGCACUAGAAAUCCAAACUUUAAAGACAAAAAAUAGGUUUAGUGUAUAAAAAAAAAAAAAAAACCUGAAAGUUCCCCUUAUUCUAACAGCUGAAACCA